rnacentral:rRNA from 1 species
UACGGAGGGGACUAGCGUUGUUCGGAAUUACUGGGCGUAAAGCGCACGUAGGCGGAUUUGUAAGUCAGGGGUGAAAUCCCGGGAGCUCAACCUCGGAACUGCCUUUGAUACUGCAAAUCUCGAGUCCGGAAGAGGUGAGUGGAAUUCCUAGUGUAGAGGUGAAAUUCGUAGAUAUUCGGAAGAACACCAGUGGCGAAGGCGGCUCACUGGUCCGGUACUGACGCUGAGGUGCGAAAGCGUGGGGAGCAAACAGG